CCCUUAGAGUUUGAUCCUGGCUCAGGACGAACGCUGGCGGCGUGCCUAAUACAUGCAAGUCGAGCGAAUCGAUGGGAGCUUGCUCCCUGAGAUUAGCGGCGGACGGGUGAGUAACACGUGGGCAACCUGCCUAUAAGACUGGGAUAACUUCGGGAAACCGGAGCUAAUACCGGAUACGUUCUUUUCUCGCAUGAGAGAAGAUGGAAAGACGGUUUACGCUGUCACUUAUAGAUGGGCCCGCGGCGCAUUAGCUAGUUGGUGAGGUAAUGGCUCACCAAGGCGACGAUGCGUAGCCGACCUGAGAGGGUGAUCGGCCACACUGGGACUGAGACACGGCCCAGACUCCUACGGGAGGCAGCAGUAGGGAAUCUUCCGCAAUGGACGAAAGUCUGACGGAGCAACGCCGCGUGAACGAAGAAGGCCUUCGGGUCGUAAAGUUCUGUUGUUAGGGAAGAACAAGUACCAGAGUAACUGCUGGUACCUUGACGGUACCUAACCAGAAAGCCACGGCUAACUACGUGCCAGCAGCCGCGGUAAUACGUAGGUGGCAAGCGUUGUCCGGAAUUAUUGGGCGUAAAGCGCGCGCAGGUGGUUCCUUAAGUCUGAUGUGAAAGCCCACGGCUCAACCGUGGAGGGUCAUUGGAAACUGGGGAACUUGAGUGCAGAAGAGGAAAGUGGAAUUCCAAGUGUAGCGGUGAAAUGCGUAGAGAUUUGGAGGAACACCAGUG
rnacentral:rRNA from 1 species